rnacentral:lncRNA from 1 species
UGAGCCUCAGUUUCCUCACCUGGCAAAUGGGGUGGGAAGACGCAAUGUGAUGUUUUCUUGCUAAAGAGCCUCAGCUGCUGCAGAAUGGGCCUGGGGGAAUCACCUCCUCCCCACCUUCCGCUUGGCCGGGCUGGCGCCUAACACGCGUAACUUCUCCCCUGCCAAGAGGAGACGCUGGUGGGAAGGCAGCCUGACUGCUGACAUCAGCCCAAUCUUGACUUCUAGGUGUGAAGAUAGAAGCUUCCUCCAGUGAAGCAGCAGCCCCGGCACUGGGCCUGCAGUGGAGACCGGGAAUGAGAGAAGCCCCUGGCGUGGGCUGGCAAGGACGCAGAGCACGGAGAGCACCUGGGGCAGGGCCGGCGCCAACGGCAUAACACAUGCUGCUGCUCCUCUCCCGCGGGGCCCAUGGAGAUGGCUGGAAGCAGCCCAACGUCAGGGCAGAUCCCUACCUUCACACUCACAUAAGAGAAGAGUGAAGUUUCGGGGACUCCACACCUCAAGGUAGUUCCACCGUGCGAGGUGCUGCGCUCACAGUAUUACUCAUGCACCUUUCUGAUAAGAAAAGUGAAAAUGUGAAGUUGAAAACUGAAGACGCCCAGCAACUUCCUGAAUCCAGCCCUCCACGUCCUGCCCUACGGGACGGACGACUCCCAAAGAGGAAUCGUUGGUGGAAGUCCCAUGUUUCGUUGCCGUUGGAAGGGGGAACUGGUCAAGGCAGGUUCGGUUUCAGGAUCUCACCUCACCUGGGAGCGGGGAGGUGACGGUCCCCCAGCGGGGCAGUCACGCCGCCCUGGCCUUGAGGCCGGACUCCACACUGCGCUUGGCUAGGGUGGUCCGUCCCUCUCUUGGCCACCUGUGUCGGGCAGCCUGACGCCGCAUCUUCCUGAGCAGCUGUCGGCGUUGCCGUGUGGCAGCCACGCUGUUGCAACAUGAGCGGCUGAGGUUUCUGAGGCCCCUCCGGCCAGAAGCUGGCCCAGGUGCUGUGGGCAAGACAUGUGCGAGAGACUGAAUUAGACCCCCUUGGAAAAAAAAACCACGCACACAAACACCAUCCUGCCUUUUUUUUUUUCAGGGCUCAUCUCUGGACCCACACCCCAUAACCAACAUGGAAGCCUGGAUUUGGCCCUGGAUCAGGCUGGCUCCCCAGGGAAGGGUCCAGUCUCUCCGGGGAGACAUCCCGACUUCGGGUCCUGCUUUCUCUACUGUAAUUCGAGGCUGGCCAUGCCCCUCAGUGGGCCUCAGUUUCCUCACCUGUACAGUGGGGAAAUCCAUAGGACCUACCUCCUGGGAGGGCACUGAGGACCGAGGGAAUGAAUGCCUGUCCAGUGCUCAUGAUCGUGACAAGCACUGCGCAGAAUAAAUCCGGAAUAAACGCUCACCGGGUGAGGGAGGGCAGGGAAGAUUUCUAAAAUCCCCCUGAUUUGAGAUGAGAUCUGAUUCACCCACUUAAAAAACCACAUUGGGAAAUAAUUUGAAAUGUACAGGAAAGUUGUAAGAAUCGCACAAAGAAUACUCCCAAACGUUUUGCCCAUACUCACCUGUUUUCUGUGGCAACUUUGAGACAGAAUUCACACGCCAUACAGUUGACCCAUCUCAACUGUACAAUUCAAUGGCCUUUCAUAGUCAGAGUUGUGCAACUGUCACCAGGGUCAAUUUUAGAACGUUUUCAUCACUCUCCUCUCACAAAAAACCCCUCACGUCCCUUGGCUGUCACUCUGCACCUAUUAAUAUUUUUUUGUGUUAAGACUUUUUCUUUGAGAUGGAGUCUCAGUCUGUUGCCCAGGCUGGAGUGCAGUGGCGUACAUCUCGGCUCACAGUAACCUCCACCUCCUGGGUUCAAGCGAUUCUCCUGCCUCAGCCUCCUGAGUAGCUGGGAUUACGGGUGCCCGCCUCCACGCCCGGCUAGUUUUUGUAUUUUUAGUAGAGACAGGGUUUCACCAUGUUGGUCAGGCUGGUCUCGAACUCCUGACCUCGUGAUCCACCUGCCUUGGCCCCACAAAGUGCUAGGAUUACAGGUGUGAAACACUAUGCCCGGUAAAUGUUAAGACUUUUAUGCAUCUUCUUGACCUGUGGUCUUCAGCAUUUGAGUCUUAGGGGACCUUUAAAAUAUUAAGAUAGGCCAGGCACAGUGGCUCAUGCCUGAAAUCCCAGAACUUUAGGAGGCUGUGGUGAGACGAUUGCUUGAAGCCAGGAGUUUGGGACGAGCCUGGGCAUCAUAGUGAGACCCCCAUCUUGGCAAAAAAGUAAACAUAAAAAAUAUUAGCUGGGCAUAGUGGCGAGCAUCUGUAGUUCUAGCUAAUUGGGAGGCUGAGGUGGCAGGAUCCCUUGAGCCCAAGAGUUCAAGAGUAUAGUGAGCUAUGAUUGUGCCACUGCACUCCAGCCUGGGCAAUAGAGUGAGACCCUGUUUCUAAAAAACAAAAGCCAUACUAAAAUACUCUGCAAAGACCUCAUAUUCAUUUAUUCACUCAACAAAUGUUUGUUGAGCACCUGUUUUAUGCCAAGUCCAAUACUAGGAGCUCUGGUUGCAACAGAGAGCAAAACAGACACGGCCCUGCCAGUCACCUGGGGCAGGGAAUCCCCCUGCCCCACUCCCUGCAAUAAUCGAUUGUAGAGAAGAAUUAGCAAAUCACAGCUGAGAAGGGUCUGCUGGAAAACACAGCAGAGGCCUUGACUUUGCCUGAUGAAUGGAGGUGGGCUUCCUGGCAGAGGGGCGUCUGUGGGUGAGGGAGGAAGUAGGACUGGCUGGUCAGAGGGGACGGCACACAGGAAGCUGCUGAGCAGGCAGGAGUGUGCUCCGUGGAGGAGCUAGGAGGAGGCCAGUUCUUAGCUGGAGGGUGGAGAAGGAGGGCUAAAGCCAAGCAUGCAGAGGCCGAGGGAUGUGCAGCGCCGGUCAGCCCACGUGAGAUCUUUCCUCCCUCUCCGUGGACUGGGAACCUCCAUAGUUACCACAUGCUGCGCUGACUUCUCUAACACGCUUUGGCCAAUGAUGUUUCCCUAAUCACAGCAGCUCCUCAUUUAGAAUGUGUUCUUAUUUAGGAUGCGUUCGAGUCUCUGUGAUCUGAACUCCACAUGAGGACUCCCUGGGUCCCUCAGGAACCCAUGUCCUACCAGUUAGACUCCCUUGUUUUAGACCCCUUAUUUCAGCAUUUUAUAAACUCUGUCCCGUAGGAUACUGACCCAUUUGCAACUUAGCCAAAAAAAUGAAAGUUAUGUAGCCAAACAAGCUUUGAAAAUACCCCAUUUCUUUCUGGACGUUUCACAAUGCACAGGAGCAUAUUAAAGGCUCUGAUAAGUCCUGCAGCAAAGAACCAAGUGCUUCCCAAAUGCAGUAGUUCAGGGAACCUCUUUGUUCCAUUACUCCCAUGAAGUUUACAAAACUAGUGCUAUGUGGAAAAUGCUUUGUAAAACACGGAUAAUUCUGCAAGUGAUCUGCCUGAGUGUGGAAUGCAGAUAUCCAGCCAGAGUCUGUAACUUCAGACAUGGUGUGGAAGGCCAAUGUGAAAAGCAGGAAUAGUAGAAUGGUUUUAAAAGGGUUCCCUCUAAUUACUCUUGAGUAGGAAAGUAGGAGCCGCCGACACCUGGGAACUGUCCUGGAGCCCCUGGCCGGGCUGGGCCAUUCUCCGGUUUGACAUAAACCAUCUCCCAGAACACCAGCUGCACAGAAGGUCACUCUGAGAUCACAGUAGUGAGACAAAGACAGGUCACGGUGUCACCCACAAACACCAAUUAUCCCCCUUUCCCCACUAAAAUGAAGAAUGGCUGUUUCUUGACCAAUCUCAGCUUUAUGCUGGUGCCCGUCUCCCCUCUCUAGAGGUGACAGUGAUUGAGGCACCCACUCAGAGAAUUGCCCCCUUUCUUUUGGCUUCUGGUCUACUGAGCCCCACUUCCCUAGACCUUCGCCUUCCCACUACCCACCCAAACCCCAAAUCCUACAGGGGCUCUUCCCAGCACCCUCUCACCCCGAAGUUCCUAUGGGGAGCGUCCACCCUCAUUGCAAGGUGGAAGAAACCUGGCUCUUCAACCAAAGGCCCCCAGGGGAGCGUGGCUGGAGGGCACGACACUCUCAAAAAUAUAUAAUUCUCUGAACAAAAUAUACCUCUGUUCCUUUACAAAUGAAGCAUCUGUUGAAAGUGUGUGGAACUUAUUUUGCAAAGAUAUUCCUUGUGAUAAGGCUUGAUUCCAGGUAACUCUUUUCAAAGUGAGUCACAGACCAGGAAGUCGUAUGGAAUGAGUGAUGGAAAGAUGUAUUUUACACGUUGCCCCUCAAGUCCAAACUUGAACUCAUGUCUCUCUGAACCAGAGUGGAGCUUCCUUCCAUUGCAGCCCCAUAUAUGCUGUCAGGGAGCUAGGGGGCCUGGGAGGGUGGCCACCCUGCACACCGUGUGUUACUGGGUGAGGAUUUGCACGUUUGUGGCUGAGGGGAAGACGUUCACGUUGGAUAGUUGUAAUUUCCAAUCCAGGCCCCAACUCUCUAUAACUGAGUGACUGUGGGUGAGUUUCUCCACGUUCCUGAACCUCAAUUUUCUCAUCUAUGAAGUGGGGAUGCCACUACAAAUCAGGUAGCACCUACAAAUCAGGUUUAAGGAUUUGAGUAGAUAACAUAUGUAAAGUGUUUAGCCAGUACCCUGCCAGCAAAUGGUGACCACCACUGUCACUGUUGUCACUGGUAUUAUCUAGUGGUCAAGGUCAGCGCAUCAGCCUUUGGUCAGUGUUCUUUCUCGGUUAGAGGACUUUUUGACCCCGGGUGUCCAUGAGGGUCACCUGGGGAACCUAAAAACAAUGGACUCCUGGGCUGGCCCCAAGUUUAGGGAGGAACUGGUCCUGG